rnacentral:lncRNA from 1 species
AUGGGAGUCUGGUCGAUCAAAAGAAAGACAGGGGCGAUCCCCAUGCUCCAAACCCUAGAAAACUCACAAAAACUCUCAAUUGGAGGUGCAAAUCUGGUCCAAAACGAAAUCCGAGCUUAGAAUCGUGAUCCUCAUCGCAAGGGGGUUGUAAGUUUGACUUUUGACAAGCUAGAUGGAGGCUUGGAAGGAAGCGGGUCAAACGAAGCAAAUAAGAAGUAAAAGCAUGUUUCAGAAGCAAGGAGCGAAUAGUAAUUUGGAUAAUUGCGUCGCCACAGAAUAUCGGUAAUAAAAGCAAGGUGUUGAAACGGGUCACUAGGUUGGCUCGAGCUAGGUGAAUGUCGAGGGUCCCGGAUGAAGAUCGAGCAUCGAGCAAGAACCGAACACACAUUAAAUAAAGCUUCCGCAACGUUGUUUUGUCGUUAUUCUAAACGGCGAUUUAAAUCACAUUAUGUAUAUCACUUAAAUUGUAAAAGUUUUAAACAAACCCGUAUUUCCGAUAUAUAU